rfam:Pseudomonas sp. MF4836 contig011, whole genome shotgun sequence.
UGUCAUGGCGGAUUGCGCAGGGACCCCUUCGGGGGUGCCGGUUCCUUUCGUGCCGGUCCGCCAACCUUGUGCAAUCCGCCACCCUA